rnacentral:rRNA from 1 species
GGCGACGAUCUGUAGCUGGUCUGAGAGGAUGAGCAGCCACACUGGGACUGAGACACGGCCCAGACUCCUACGGGAGGCAGCAGUGGGGAAUUUUCCGCAAUGGGCGCAAGCCUGACGGAGCAAUACCGCGUGAGGGAGGAAGGCUCUUGGGUCGUAAACCUCUUUUCUCAGGGAAGAACACAAUGACGGUACCUGAGGAAUAAGCAUCGGCUAACUCCGUGCCAGCAGCCGCGGUAAUACGGAGGAUGCAAGCGUUAUCCGGAAUGAUUGGGCGUAAAGCGUCCGUAGGUGGUUUGUCAAGUCUGUGGUUAAAGCGCGAAGCUCAACUUCGUAACGGCCAUGGAAACUGACAGACUAGAGUGAAGUAGGGGUAGAGGGAAUUCCCAGUGUAGCGGUGAAAUGCGUAGAGAUUGGGAAGAACACCGGUGGCGAAAGCGCUCUACUGGACUUAUACUGACACUGAGGGACGAAAGCUAGGGGAGCGAAAGGGAUUAGAUACCCC